rnacentral:rRNA from 1 species
GUCCACGCCGUAAACGUUGGGCGCUAGGUGUGGGGGACAUUCCACGUCCUCUGUGCCGUAGCUAACGCAUUAAGCGCCCCGCCUGGGGAGUACGGCCGCAAGGCUAAAACUCAAAGGAAUUGACGGGGGCCCGCACAAGCGGCGGAGCAUGUGGCUUAAUUCGACGCAACGCGAAGAACCUUACCAAGGCUUGACAUACACGGUAAUCCGGCAGAGAUGUCGGGUCCUUACGGGAUCGUGUACAGGUGGUGCAUGGCUGUCGU